rnacentral:rRNA from 1 species
UACGUAGGGUGCAAGCGUUAAUCGGAAUUACUGGGCGUAAAGCGUGCGCAGGCGGUCUUGCAAGACAGAUGUGAAAUCCCCGGGCUCAACCUGGGAACUGCAUUUGUGACUGCAAGGCUGGAGUGCGGCAGAGGGGGAUGGAAUUCCGCGUGUAGCAGUGAAAUGCGUAGAUAUGCGGAGGAACACCGAUGGCGAAGGCAAUCCCCUGGGCCUGUACUGACGCUCAUGCACGAAAGCGUGGGGAGCAAACAGG